UACGUAGGGUGCAAGCGUUAAUCGGAAUACUGGGCGUAAAGCGUGCGCAGGCGGUUCUAUAAGACAGAUGUGAAAUCCCCGGGCUCAACCUGGGAACUGCAUUUGUGACUGUAGAGCUGGAGUACGGCAGAGGGGGAUGGAAUUCCGCGUGUAGCAGUGAAAUGCGUAGAUAUCGAGAGGAACACCAGUGGCGAAGGCGAGUCCCUGGACAAAACCUGACACUGAGGCACGAAAGCUAGGGGAGCAAACAGG
rnacentral:rRNA from 1 species